AUGGCGGGCUGCGUUUGAUGCGCAAGGGCGGCUCAAUGUGAAGCGAGUUCUUCGGCACAUCGAAAGAGGGGGCGUUGCGUCGGAGAUUCGCGCUCACGUCUGGGAGUUUCUUUUGGGUGUUUACUCCCCCGGCAGCAAUGCUGCCGAAAGGGAAGAGCUUCGUCAAUCGCGACGUGACAAAUAUUUGAAGCUCAAGGCCGAGUGAAAGCGAAUGGAUGCGGCCGUUGGAAGUGGCGAAGUUGUGAUAUCGCCGCGAAUGAAUGCCGACGGAGUUCCCAUGGAGGAAAAUAAUCCAGGUGCUUAGUUCUUUGUUUGCUUCGGGCUUUUCACUUUCAGUCCAAGUAUUAGCAGAAUCCAUUGAAAAGUUGUGCUGGAUCCAGCGCCGAGGGCAAAGAUUGUCCAGUGGAAAGCUCUUCUCCACCAGA